CAUGUCCAGUGAGUUUGACCUAAAGGGUCAACAUGUCUAGUGAGUUGUGAUCUAAAAGGUUAACAUGUCCAGUGUGUUGUGAUCUAAAAGGUCAACAUGUCCAGUGAGUUGUGAUGUGAAAGGUCAACAUGAUGUCCAGUGUGUUGUGAUCUGAAAGGUCAACAUGUCCAGUGAGUUUGUUCUGAAAGGUCAACAUGUCCAGUGAGUUGUGAUCUUAAAGGUCAACAUGUCCAGUGAGUUUGACCUAAAGGGUCAACAUGUCCAGUGAGUUGUGAUCUAAAGGUUAACAUGUCCAGUGUGUUCUGAUCUAAAGGUCAACAUGUCCAGUGAGUUGUGAUCUGAGAGGUUAACAUGUCCAGUGAGUUGCGAUGUGAAAGGUCAACAUGUCCGGUGUGUUGUGAUCUGAAAGAUCAAAAUGUCCAGUGAGUUUGAUCUGAAAGGUCAACAUGUCCAGUAGGUUAUCUUUUUUUUUAAAUUUUUAUCCCCAUUGGAGAAACAUAAAAAGUUUAUGUCUAAUGCUUA
rnacentral:lncRNA from 1 species